GCGCUUGCACCCCGCGCGCAACACCACUAUCUAGAACAUGUUCCCUCGGGAACUAUGGACAUAAACGCGCUUGUAAUAAACGGAUCGGACCCGGGGGCGGUACCCGGCGUCUCCACCAAACAUCCUUCAUUUGGGGAUCAUGGGGACGAAACAGGAUCGACGGACGUCUAAAGAAGUUAGCUUUGUCUCGGCUGUCUGCCACCGUUAUCGGCGAAAACUGUACAAUUGCAAAUGACAAUCGUGCUCCGGUAGCAGUCGCUGCGUAAGCAGUGCCUAACACCGAAAUCUAAGUCCUGACGCUAGCUGCCUCAGGCGGGGUCCGCAGGAACCUGGCAACAGAAUCCUGCACC
rfam:Shimia marina strain CECT 7688 genome assembly, contig: 0027